rnacentral:rRNA from 1 species
AGCGAACGCUGGCGGCAGGCCUAACACAUGCAAGUCGAACGGACCUUUCGGGGUUAGUGGCGGACGGGUGAGUAACACGUGGGAACGUGCCUUUAGGUUCGGAAUAGCUCCUGGAAACGGGUGGUAAUGCCGAAUGUGCCCUUAGGGGGAAAGAUUUAUCGCCUUUAGAGCGGCCCGCGUCUGCUUAGCUAGUUGGUGUGGUAAUGGCUCACCAAGGCUACGAUCAGUAGCUGGUCUGAGAGGAUGACCAGCCACAUUGGGACUGAGACACGGCCCAAACUCCUACGGGAGGCAGCAGUGGUGAAUCUUGCGCAAUGGGCGAAAGCUUGACGCAGCCAUGCCGCGUGGAUGAUGAAGGUCUUAGGAUUGUAAAAUCCUUUCGCCGGUGAAGAUAAUGACUGUAGCCGGAGAAGAAGCCCCGGCUAACUUCGUGCCAGCCGCCGCAGUAA